GGGUGUUUAGCUCAGUUGGGAGAGCGACGGCCUUACAAGCCGUAGGUCGCAGGUUCGAACCCUGCAACACCCACCA
rnacentral:tRNA from 1 species